rnacentral:lncRNA from 1 species
UUGGAUAAAAAUUGCAGUAGAGCUAGCCGACAAUGGUAACUUUUUUUUAAAACGGAGUUAAAAGAUUUGUCACAUCUCAUUAAUUAAGGCCUUGUUUGAAACCACUUAAAUUAUAUAAUCCAGUUUUUAUAAUUUAUUAUGUCUUCAAACAUGAUAGAUUAUAUUGUAGUUUAUAAAAACUAGAUGAUCAGAUUAUUAAAAACUCAUAAUCUACUCUACCUCAGCUAAAAUCAGAUUAUUAAAAACUUGGAGAUAAUUACCUACUACCACCGCCACCGUCCUUCAAACAUGCCCACCUAGAUUAUUAUCUUUGCAGCUAAAAAACAGAGAACAAACAUGUCAUUGUACAAUAUAAAUCUGGAUUACAGUUUAUAUAAUCUGGUCUCCAAACAUGCUCACCUAUAUUAUUUUUAUAAUUCGGAUUAUAUAAUAUAUCUUCAUAAUUCAGAAUAUUAUAAUCUAUUGUGGUUUCAAACAGAGCCUAAGCAAUGAAGAGUACGGAUGGUAAUUUUCUUGUUCGGUGGUCCUGAAAGGAACUUUAUCGAGGAAAAUGACAAUUGAUAAAGAU